CGGUGUUUAACUGGCGUGAUGUGGGACGUCCUACCGGUGGGCUUAGCCUCGCGAGGGGCGGCCCAACUAAUAUCCCGUCGCGGUGCUCUUUACUGAGUGUCGAGUCGGGCCGGUACGUUUACUUUGAACAAAUUAGAGUGCUUAAAGCAGGCUAUCCUCGCCUGAAUACUGCGUGCAUGGAAUAAUGGAAUAGGACCUCGGUUCUAUUUUGUUGGUUUUCGGAACCCCGAGGUAAUGAUUAAUAGGGACAGAUGGGGGCAUUCGUAUUGCGACGUUAGAGGUGAAAUUCUUGGAUCGUCGCAAGACGGACAGAAGCGAAAGCAUUUGCCAAAAAUGUUUUCAUUAAUCAAGAACGAAAGUUAGAGGUUCGAAGGCGAUCAGAUACCGCCCUAGUUCUAACCAUAAACGAUGCCAGCUAGCGAUCCGCCGAAGUUCCUCCAAUGACUCGGCGGGCAGCUUCCGGGAAACCAAAGCUUUUGGGUUCCGGGGGAAGUAUGGUUGCAAAGCUGAAACUUAAAGGAAUUGACGGAAGGGCACCACCAGGAGUGGAGCCUGCGGCUUAAUUUGACUCAACACGGGAAACCUCACCAGGCCCAGACACCGGAAGGAUUGACAGAUUGAUAGCUCUUUCUUGAUUCGGUGGGUGGUGGUGCAUGGCCGUUCUUAGUUGGUGGAGCGAUUUGUCUGGUUAAUUCCGAUAACGAACGAGACUCUAGCCUGCUAAAUAGGCGUACCUUAUGGUAUCGCGAGGGCCCCCGGCUUCGGCCGGUGGGUUUUUACUACCAACGUACAAACAAAUCUUCUUAGAGGGACAGGCGG
rnacentral:rRNA from 1 species